GUUGGAUCAAAGAUGCUAAUUUAAUACUGCGUUAUCUGUCUGAUCGUUCCUUCUUUGAAAGGAACUGAAGAUAACACUAAUCUCAUACUGAGAUCCAAU